AUUGAACGCUGGCGGCAUGCCUUACACAUGCAAGUCGAACGGCAGCACGGGAGUAAUCCUGGUGGCGAGUGGCGAACGGAUGAGUAAUAUAUCGGAACGUGCCCAGUCGUGGGGGAUAACGUAGAGAAAGCUACGCUAAUACCGCAUACGAUCUACGGAUGAAAGCGGGGGAUAGCAAGACCUCGCGCGAUUGGAGCGGCCGAUAUCAGAUUAGCUAGUUGGUGGGGUAAAAGCCCACCAAGGCGACGAUCGGUAGCUGGUCUGAGAUGACGACCAGCCACACUGGAACUGAGACACGGUCCAGACUCCUACGGGAGGCAGCAGUGGGGAAUUGUGGACAAUGGGCGAAAGCCUGAUCCAGCAAUGCCGCGUGCAGGACGAAGGCCUUCGGGUUGUAAACUGCUUUUGUACGGAACGAAACGGUCUCUUUUAAUACAGGGGGGCUAAUGACGGUACCGUAAGAAUAAGCACCGGCUAACUACGUGCCAGCAGCCGCCGUAA
rnacentral:rRNA from 1 species